CCCUUAGAUGUUCUGGGCCGCACACGCGCUACACUGAUGCAUUCAACGAGUUACCUUGGCCGAGAGGCCUGGGCAAUCUUUUGAACGUGCAUCGUGAUAGGGAUAGAUUAUUGCAAUUAUUAAUCUUGAACGAGGAAUUCCUAGUAAACGCAGUUCAUCAAACUGCAUUGAUUACGUCCCUGCCCUUUGUACACACCGCCCGUCGCACCUACCGAUUGGAUGGUCCGGUGAAGCCUCGGGAUUGUGGCCAGUGCCUUUUUGGUUUUGGUUGCGAGAACUUGUCUAAACCUUAUCAUCUAGAGGAAGGUGAAGUCGUAACA
rnacentral:rRNA from 1 species